CCUACGGGGCGCAGCAGUGAGGAAUAUUGGUCAAUGGGCGGGAGCCUGAACCAGCCAUGCCGCGUGAAGGUCAGUGCCCUAUGGGCGUAAAACUUCUUUUGUGCGGGAGCAAUAAUGGUCACGUGUGGCCAGACGAGAGUACCGUACGAAUAAGCAUCGGCUAACUCCGUGCCAGCAGCCGCGGUAAUACGGGGGAUGCAAGCGUUAUCCGGAUUUAUUGGGUUUAAAGGGUGCGUAGGCUGUGAGGUAAGUCAGCGGUGAAAUGCCCCCGCUCAACGGGGUGAAGUGCCAUUGAUACUGCCUUGCUGGAAUGCGGAGGCCGUGGGAGGAAUGUGUGGUGUAGCGGUGAAAUGCAUAGAUAUCACACAGAACACCGAUUGCGAAGGCAUCUCACGAAUCCGCGAUUGACGCUGAUGCACGAAAGCGUGGGUAUCAAACAGGAUUAGAUACCCCUGUAGUC
rnacentral:rRNA from 1 species